rnacentral:rRNA from 1 species
UACAGAGGUCCCAAGCGUUGUUCGGAUUCACUGGGCGUAAAGGGUGCGUAGGCGGUCGGGUAAGUCUGAUGUGAAAUCUCACAGCUUAACUGUGAAACUGCAUUGGAUACUAUCCGGCUCGAGGAAUGGAGGGGAGACUGGAAUACUUGGUGUAGCAGUGAAAUGCGUAGAUAUCAAGUGGAACACCGGUGGCGAAGGCGGGUCUCUGGGCCGAUAUUGACGCUGAGGAGCGAAAGCGUGGGGAGCGAACAGG